rnacentral:rRNA from 1 species
GACGAACGCUGGCGGCGUGCCUAAUACAUGCAAGUAGAACGCUGAAGGAGGAGCUUGCUUCUCUGGAUGAGUUGCGAACGGGUGAGUAACGCGUAGGUAACCUGCCUGGUAGCGGGGGAUAACUAUUGGAAACGAUAGCUAAUACUGCAUAAUAUUGAUUAUUGCAUGAUAGUCAAUUAAAAGGUGCAAUUGCACCACUACCAGAUGGACCUGCGUUGUAUUAGCUAGUUGGUGGGGUAACGGCUCACCAAGGCGACGAUACAUAGCCGACCUGAGAGGGUGAUCGGCCACACUGGGACUGAGACACGGCCCAGACUCCUACGGGAGGCAGCAGUAGGGAAUCUUCGGCAAUGGACGGAAGUCUGACCGAGCAACGCCGCGUGAGUGAAGAAGGUUUUCGGAUCGUAAAGCUCUGUUGUAAGAGAAGAACGAGUGUGAGAGUGGAAAGUUCACACUGUGACG